rnacentral:rRNA from 1 species
AUUGAACGCUGGCGGCAUGCCUUACACAUGCAAGUCGAACGGCAGCACGGACUUCGGUCUGGUGGCGAGUGGCGAACGGGUGAGUAAUGCAUCGGAACGUACCAUUGAGUGGGGGAUAACGUAGCGAAAGUUACGCUAAUACCGCAUAUUCUCUACGGAGGAAAGACGGGGAUCGUAAGCCCUGGUUCUCUUUGAGCGGCCGAUGUCGGAUUAGCUAGUUGGUGAGGUAAAGGCUCACCAAGGCUACGAUCCGUAGCGGGUCUGGGAGGGUGAGCCGCCACACUGGGACUGAGACACGGCCCAGACUCCUACGGGAGGCAGCAGUGGGGAAUUUUGGACAAUGGGGGCAACCCUGAUCCAGCCAUGCCGCGUGAGUGAAGAAGGCCUUCGGGUUGUAAAGCUCUUUCAGCCGGGAAGAAAACGCAUGGGUUAAUACCCUGUGUGGAUGACGGUACCGGAAUAAGAAGCACCGGCUAACUACGUGCCAGCAGCCGCCGUAA